rnacentral:rRNA from 1 species
CCCGCUUGCGGGGUGGAUCAGUGGCGAACGGGUGAGUAACACGUGAGCAACCUGCCCCUGACUCUGGGAUAAGCGCUGGAAACGGCGUCUAAUACUGGAUACGAGACGUGAUCGCAUGGUCAACGUUUGGAAAGAUUUUUCGGUUGGGGAUGGGCUCGCGGCCUAUCAGCUUGUUGGUGAGGUAAUGGCUCACCAAGGCGUCGACGGGUAGCCGGCCUGAGAGGGUGACCGGCCACACUGGGACUGAGACACGGCCCAGACUCCUACGGGAGGCAGCAGUGGGGAAUAUUGCACAAUGGGCGCAAGCCUGAUGCAGCAACGCCGCGUGAGGGAUGACGGCCUUCGGGUUGUAAACCUCUUUUAGCAGGGAAGAAGCGAGAGUGACGGUACCUGCAGAAAAAGCACCGGCUAACUACGUGCCAGCAGCCGCGGUAAUACGUAGGGUGCAAGCGUUAUCCGGAAUUAUUGGGCGUAAAGAGCUCGUAGGCGGUUUGUCGCGUCUGCUGUGAAAUCUGGGGGCUCAACCCCCAGCCUGCAGUGGGUACGGGCAGACUAGAGUGCGGUAGGGGAGAUUGGAAUUCCUGGUGUAGCGGUGGAAUGCGCAGAUAUCAGGAGGAACACCGAUGGCGAAGGCAGAUCUCUGGGCCGUAACUGACGCUGAGGAGCGAAAGGGUGGGGAGCAAACAGGCUUAGAUACCCUGGUAGUCCACCCCGUAAACGUUGGGAACUAGUUGUGGGGUCCAUUCCACGGAUUCCGUGACGCAGCUAACGCAUUAAGUUCCCCGCCUGGGGAGUACGGCCGCAAGGCUAAAACUCAAAGGAAUUGACGGGGACCCGCACAAGCGGCGGAGCAUGCGGAUUAAUUCGAUGCAACGCGAAGAACCUUACCAAGGCUUGACAUAUACGAGAACGGGCCAGAAAUGGUCAACUCUUUGGACACUCGUAAACAGGUGGUGCAUGGUUGUCGUCAGCUCGUGUCGUGAGAUGUUGGGUUAAGUCCCGCAACGAGCGCAACCCUCGUUCUAUGUUGCCAGCACGUAAUGGUGGGAACUCAUGGGAUACUGCCGGGGUCAACUCGGAGGAAGGUGGGGAUGACGUCAAAUCAUCAUGCCCCUUAUGUCUUGGGCUUCACGCAUGCUACAAUGGCCGGUACAAUGGGCUGCAAUACCGUGAGGUGGAGCGAAUCCCAAAAAGCCGGUCCCAGUUCGGAUUGAGGUCUGCAACUCGACCUCAUGAAGUCGGAGUCGCUAGUAAUCGCAGAUCAGCAACGCUGCGGUGAAUACGUUCCCGGGUCUUGUACACACCGCCCGUCAAGUCAUGAAAGUCGGUAACACCUGAAGCCGGUGGCCUAACCCC